GUACAAAGGGUUGCCAAGCCGCGAGGUGGAGCUAAUCCCAUAAAACCGAUCGUAGUCCGGAUCGCAGUCUGCAACUCGACUGCGUGAAGUCGGAAUCGCUAGUAAUCGUGAAUCAGAAUGUCACGGUGAAUACGUUCCCGGGCCUUGUACACACCGCCCGUCACACCAUGGGAGUGGGUUGCUCCAGAAGUAGCUAGUCUAACCGCAAGGGGGACGGUUACCACGGAGUGAUUCAUGACUGGGGUGAAGUCGUAACAAGGUAGCCGUAGGGGAACCUGCGGCUGGAUCACCUCCUUAA
rnacentral:rRNA from 1 species